UCGGGAAUUUUGGGCAAUGGGCGAAAGCCUGACCCAGCAACGCCGCGUGAGGGAUGAAGUAUUUCGGUAUGUAAACCUCGAAAGAAUGGGAAGAAUAAAUGACGGUACCAUUUAUAAGCUCCGGCUAACUACGUGCCAGCAGCCGCGGUAAUACGUAGGGAGCAAGCGUUGUUCGGAUUUACUGGGCGUAAAGGGCGCGUAGGCGGCGCGGUAAGUCACUUGUGAAAUCUCUGAGCUUAACUCAGAACGGCCAAGUGAUACUGCUGUGCUAGAGUGCGGAAGAGGCUACCGGAAUUCUGGGUGUAGCGGUGAAAUGCGUAGAUAUCAAGAGGAACACCUGAGGCGAAGGCGGGUUGCUGGGCCGACACUGACGCUGAUGCGCGAAAGCCAGGGGAGCAAACG
rnacentral:rRNA from 1 species